rnacentral:rRNA from 1 species
AGCGAACGCUGGCGGCAGGCUUAACACAUGCAAGUCGAGCGGGCACUUUCGGGUGUCAGCGGCGGACGGGUGAGUAACGCGUGGGAACGUGCCCUCUGGUUCGGAAUAACUCAGGGAAACUUGAGCUAAUACCGGAUACGCCCUUUUGGGGAAAGGCUUGCUGCCGGAGGAUCGGCCCGCGUCUGAUUAGCUAGUUGGUGAGGUAACGGCUCACCAAGGCGACGAUCAGUAGCUGGUCUCAGAGGAUGAUCAGCCACACUGGGACUGAGACACGGCCCAGACUCCUACGGGAGGCAGCAGUGGGGAAUAUUGGACAAUGGGCGCAAGCCUGAUCCAGCCAUGCCGCGUGAGUGAUGAAGGCCUUAGGGUUGUAAAGCUCUUUUAUCCGGGACGAUAAUGACGGUACCGGAGGAAUAAGCCCCGACUAACUUCGUG